GUGGUAUCUGGCUCUCGAGAUUCGGAGAACGAUGCUUCUUCGAUUUUUGAGAAAGCAAUCAUGCUAGGGGUCUGGCUCUCGAGAUUCGGGGAGCAGUGUCUCUUCGAUUUUUGAGAAAGUAAUCAUGUUGGGAGUCUGGCUCUCGAGAUUCGGAGGGCGGUGCCUCUUCGAUUUUGGAGUAAGCAAUCUUGUUGGGAGUGUUUUCUCGGAUGUGAGUAAAGGUUGGGCAUGUUUGCUAGUCUACCUUGCCACGAAGCACGGAGGUUGACACACAGGGACUUUCCAAUUAUCCAGCAGUGGUACUGUUCCUUUACCCUUGUGGGUAAUAAUAUGGUAGCUAGACCUUCAAAAUUUAUGUGUCUAAACUUUGUUAGUGCUGUUUCUUUGUUAUUCUUUUACCUUUCUUGGUCAGAGCGAUGUAGUGGGAGCUGCAAGCUUCACGUGCUCAACUUUGGCAGAGACUUUGGCAAAGUUAUCUGUGGUACCCAUGAGCUAUUGUUGCGUGUGGGAAGUGGGUGAUUGAAUAGUAAGAUUCAUGUGCUUUCUACUUCACCAGAAGUCUUCGACAGAAUGCCCAUAAUUUCCGCAAAGCUGAGUGUGCGUGUGACAGGUGCUGACAAGGCUAGAAAAGUAGGUGCCUCUUCGAUUUCUGAGAUCGGCCCUCGUGGUCUCUGAGCAGCCCAGCUUUUGAGAAAGCGAGCGCCUCUUCGAUUGAUUCGGAGAACGAUGCCUCUUCGAUUUUUGAGAAAGCAAUCAUGCUGGGGGUCUGGCUCUCGAGAUUCGGGGAGCAGUGUCUCUUCGAUUUUUGAGAAAGUAAUCAUGUUGGGAGUCUGGCUCUCGAGAUUCGGAGGGCGGUGCCUCUUCGAUUUUGGAGCAAGCAAUCUUGUUGGGUGUGUUUUCUCGAAUGUGAGUAAAAGUUGGGCAUGUUUGCUAGUCUACCUUGCCACGAAGCACAGAGGUUGACACACAGGGACUUUCCAAUUAUCCAGCAAUGGUACUGUUCCUUUACCCUCUCUUCGAUUUUUGAGAAAGUAGUCAUGUUGGGAGUCUUGCUC
rnacentral:lncRNA from 1 species